rnacentral:lncRNA from 1 species
CAGCUCACUAUUCAAAUUCGGGAAUAUGAAUAGUGCCCGAGCACUCACCGGGAGUGGAUGGAGCACCUAUGGGUGGCGGCACUAUUCAGCCACUAUUCACUCACUAUUACGCACUAUUGAGCUACUAUUCGGAGUCGCAUUCAGGGGAUACGAGCACGCGCGGGUGCGUGAUUAGGUAUAUUCCUUAAUUAAGUCUAUUCUCAGGAUCUUUACGGGUUGGCGAGACCGAAGAUUCAGCCGAACGUGCUGCUAUGCUUGUGACAGUCCUACUCGGUACUCACCGCAUGCCUCGCUGGCUCGCUUCAGAACCAGGCCAGCCCGGCCUGCAGCCUCACCGUCCCCAGCCACGCUCACACAGGACUCAGGCUCUACCGUCUCCCCACGUAGUUCCACCCGAAGGGAACACUUCUCUGCGCACACAGGGUUCUCCUCAAACGCCGCUACCAGGGCUAACACGAGAACGACACACGCAGAGGUUUCUCCUCUAGGGUCCCUAGCGUAGAGACAUCGCCCCAUAAGAACGAGCUUAAAGGAAGGCAGGGAUGCUACCAGGACAGCUUAAUCCAUUUCCACGGGUCAAGCUUACAUGUGGCUUUCCCUUUCGGGAAACCCCAAGCACUUAGCACAAACCUUGAUUACCUUACAAACCGAGGGACGAGCUCCAACGGCCUCCCUUUAUUCUAGUGGUGGUAGUACAGAGGUGGAGUAAUACAGCGGUAGAUUCUAAAAUAUGGUGGCUAAUUCUAUCUCUCUCAGAGAGUGGUGGUGGAUGUCUUCAUGAGUGGAGUGUGGGUGGAGGUCUUCGCUGGUGGAGUGUGUCUUCGUGAUUCUUGGUGAUGCUCUGGUUGUGAUCUGGUUGAUGUCGUAGUGUGGUUAAGGCUUCUGGUUCCUUCAACUAUUCUCCUCUUCUGUUGCCUGGACACUUGGACGGCUCCCCGCUCCUCAAUAAUUGUCCUGGGUACAGUAGAGUUGUUGUUUAUUCUUUUUGCCUUGUCCUCUAUCGCGCACUGUCUCCUCAUGACGAUCAAGGGUGAGGGAACGAGCGACUCCGAAAAAUUUCGGAAUUCAAAUUUCGAGUUACUAUUCAGAGCACUAUUCAAAUUCGACGAACACUAUUCAAAUUCGCGGCACUAUUUAAAUUCAGCUCACUAUUCAAAUUCGGGAAUAUGAAUAGUGCCCGAGCACUCACCGGGAGUGGGUGGAGCACCUAUGGGUGGCGGCACUAUUCAGUCACUAUUCACUCACUAUUGCGCACUAUUGAGCUACUAUUCGGGGUCGCUUUCAGGGAUACGAGCAUGCGCGGGUGCGUGAUUAGGUAUAUUCCUUAAUUAAGCCUAUUCUCAGGAUCUUUGCGGGUUGGCGAGACCGAAGAUUCAGCCGGUCGUGCUGCUAUGCUUGUGACAGUCCUACUCGGUACUCAACGCAUGCCUGGCCCUGAUACCAGUAUUGGACGAGGGGAUAAUACGAUCAAGGGUGAGGGAACGAGCGACUCCGAAAAAUUUCGGAAUUCAAAUUUCGAGUUACUAUUCACAGCACUAUUCAAAUUCGACGAACACUAUUCAAAUUCGCGGCACUAUUUAAAUUCAGCUCACUAUUCAAAUUCGGGAAUAUGAAUAGUGCCCGAGCACUCACCGGGAGUGGGUGGAGCACCUAUGGGUGGCGGCACUAUUCAGCCACUAUUCACUCACUAUUGCGCACUAUUGAGCUACUAUUCGGGGUCGCUUUCAGGGGAUACGAGCACGCGCGGGUGCGUGAUUAGGUGUAUUCCUUAAUUAAGCCUAUUCUCAGGAUCUUUGCGGGUUGGCGAGACCGAAGAUUCAGCCGGACGUGCUGCUAUGCUUGUGACAGUCCUACUCGGUACUUACCGCAUGCCUCGCUGGCUCGCUUCAGAACC